rnacentral:rRNA from 1 species
UACGUAGGGGGCAAGCGUUGUCCGGAAUCAUUGGGCGUAAAGCGCGUGUAGGCGGUUCGAUUAGUCUGCUGUGAAAGUCAGGGGCUCAACCCUUGAAUGCCGGUGGAUACUGUCGGGCUAGAGUGCGGAAGAGGCGAGUGGAAUUCCUGGUGUAGCGGUGAAAUGCGCAGAUAUCAGGAGGAACACCAGCGGCGAAGGCGGCGCUCUGGGCCGGUGCUGACACUGAGGAGCGAAAGCGUGGGUAGCAAACAGG